rnacentral:lncRNA from 1 species
CCUCCCUUUACUCAGUUGUCGUGUCUAAGACAUUGAGAGCCUGUGGUCCCCAAAAGUACCACUGCAGCAUACGUAGGUGCUGUGAACCAUGGCAAGCACAGCCGCUGUGAUUGCUCUGGCUGUCUAUUGGCUUAGCUGCUCUGAUGUCACAGAAGCGUCCAGCAGAUGAUACUAAAAGGGAUUGAGAGCUGAAAAUCAGAACGCUUAGCUUCGAAAGCAGACUUUAUCAAUGGUAACCAAUAUGUAGAAAAAGCUAGAAGGGUUAGUAGAUAUUUUCUGUCAGUGCCUCUCCUAACUACUGAGUCUUCGUUGAUCACCACUGUGCUGAAGCAAAAAAUAUCUAUUGAACUUUGCAAAGAUUUGGUCCCUAGCUAAUUCCUAGGUUUAUUAGCUUGUAACCCCGUAUAAGUCUGUUGCUUUGAAUUUUUACAGCACUUAAAAGUUUAGUCACCGUCAUGUGAAUAAUAAAUUUUUAGGUAUCGCCCACGUACCAUAUGUUUUGAUUGCACCCCUGCUAAGAAAUUAACUACAGGCUCUCAAAUGGAAGAUCUUUGGGCAACGGUGGUGCUACUUGAUGUUCAUGAUGUGCGGAAUCUGCCUCCAUGACUUGAGCUGGGUAAAGAAUUAACUGAGUGGACUUCCAUUUCCCUUUGUCAGCAGCCCUUUGUUGAUCUAACCUGAAUCUCUUGCCCCUACUGAUCUCUGCAGGGUUUCUCCUGGACGUGUUUAUUGUUAGCUAAAUGUCUAAGAGAGUGAAGCACAGCCUCUUCCUAGAUUCUCAGGAUCACAGAGUUGUGAGAGACUCCCAUAAAGGCCAUCUAGCGUGAUUCUCUGGCAUCCCACGUCAUUCAAUUAUCAAGGAAACGCCUGCUUCCACCUAGAUCUACUCGGAUCACCCGCACGAGCCAGGAGGUGAGGCUGAGGAGCCUAACGCCGAGGGAGGCCCGGAAGGAAAGGACACGAAACCGGGCCUUCUUGGCGGUGGCUCCUCGCCUCUGGAAUAACCUUCCUCCGACGAUUUGUGUGGCACUUUUAAGAGACAACUAAAGACAUGGCUGUACGUCCAGGCCUUCCCUCCUGUCAAUACUUAAUUUUCUUUUCUCAUUGAUUUUGUUCUAUUAUUGCAUGUAUCACACUUGGUUUGUAAAAUUUUAUGGUUUAUUGUAUACUCCUCGUUGUAAGCCGCCCAGAGUGGUCGACCAGACCAGAUGGGCGGGAUAUAAAUUGAAUGAAUGAAUGAAUGAAUGAAUAAAUGAAUGAAUGAAUGAAUGAAUGAAUGAAUG